rnacentral:misc_RNA from 1 species
UGCGGCUGGAUCACCUCCUUUC